UACGGAGGGUGCAAGCGUUAUCCGGAUUCACUGGGUUUAAAGGGUGUGUAGGCGGGUAUUUAAGUCAGUGGUGAAAUCUCCAGGCUCAACCUGGAAACUGCCAUUGAUACUAUUUAUCUUGAAUAUCGUUGAGGUAGGCGGAAUAUGUCAUGUAGCGGUGAAAUGCUUAGAGAUGACGUAGAACACCAAUUGCGAAGGCAGCUUACUAAACGAAGAUUGACGCUGAGGCACGAAAGCGUGGGGAUCAAACAGG
rnacentral:rRNA from 1 species